rnacentral:rRNA from 1 species
UACAGAGGUCCCGAGCGUUGUUCGGAUUCAUUGGGCGUAAAGGGUGCGUAGGCGGCGGGGCAAGUCUGAUGUGAAAUCCCGGGGCUCAACCCCGGAACUGCAUUGGAUACUGCCUUGCUUGAGUACUGGAGAGGGAACUGGAAUUUACGGUGUAGCAGUGAAAUGCGUAGAGAUCGUAAGGAAGGCCAGUGGCGAAGGCGAGUUCCUGGACAGUGACUGACGCUGAGGCACGAAGGCCAGGGGGAGCAAACGGG